rnacentral:rRNA from 1 species
GACGAACGCUGGCGGCGUGCUUAACACAUGCAAGUCGAACGGAAAGGCCCUGCUUUUGUGGGGUGCCCGAGUGGCGAACGGGUGAGUAACACGUGAGUAACCUGCCCUAGACUUUGGGAUAACUUCAGGAAACUGGGGCUAAUACCGGAUAGGAGCUCCUGCUGCAUGGUGGGGGUUGGAAAGUUUCGGCGGUUGGGGAUGGACUCGCGGCUUAUCAGCUUGUUGGUGGGGUAGUGGCUUACCCAGGCUUUGACGGGUAGCCGGCCUGAGAGGGUGACCGGCCACAUUGGGACUGAGAUACGGCCCAGACUCCUACGGGAGGCAGCAGUGGGGAAUAUUGCACAAUGAGCGGAAGCCUGAUGCAGCAACGCCGCGUGCGGGAUGACGGCCUUCGGGUUGUAAACCGCAUUCGCCUGUGACGAAGCGUGAGUGACGGUAAUGGGUAAAGAAGCACCGGCUAACUACGUG